rnacentral:lncRNA from 1 species
AUGAAAAGGAACAAAUGUUUUUUUCUAUCAAGCUCCACAAUAAAAAUCAGAGCUAAUGUUUGCCACACACUCACUUGGGCCUAUUGGAUUAUUAUGGCACUGCUCCUGUCAGAGAAAACAGAUAUACGACUCCAACUGGUAACUCCUAUGCUCUGGGUUAUCACAGACUUCAAAAGGGGCUGGGGUCAGCUCUGCAGGAUCCGGAGAAAGACGAAGAAAAGUCCCAGUCAACACAAAGCCCAUCAAGUCUGAAUACACAUUUCUUUGACUGCAUCCUCAAUGAGUGAGUACUGCGACAAUGAUUGGUUUUGGCUGAGGAUUGUUGUGCAGGCCUAUAUGGUCAGGCAGGCCAUUUAAAUGCUCAUAUUUUAUUCUGCUAGCACUGAACGUUUAGUUACGAUCAAGUCAAAUAUAUUUUGUGCAUGCACAAAUGAGCCUCCAGCCUCUGCAUCCUUUUUUUUUUUUUUUUUUUUUUUAAGGAAUGACUGAAUGCAAUCUUUACUCAAAGCUAAGCUAGCUAGCUAAAUUAUCAGAUGAUUUGGAUUAGCAAACAUUAUGGAACUUUGUCUGCAACCAUGAGCCUCUUAUCUAUUAUAGUUUUAUCAUCACGAUUUUAACCACACUGAUGGAAAUGUAGGCUUGUCCAAUUUUUUUUUUUUGUCUGAGCCUGCAGCAUGAGGAAGUUCUCAGACCAGAGAUAGAACCUGCACCUUAGAAUAGGUUCCUUAGAACUAUGUCUGGAUUCUCAUGUUGCAACAGAAGAAAGGGUGGGGGAAAAAAUGUAAUUGUAAUGUAUACAUGUAAGGAUAACCUGACCCCCUUGCUGUACAAUGGGAAAAUAAAAAUAAAAAUAUAUUAAAGUUCUUUAAAAAAAAAAAAAAAAGAAUAGGUUCCUUAACCUGCUGAGCCACCAGGGAACUCCAAGCCCUGUCCAAAUUUGAUGCCACAUCUUUGUGGUGCUUUUCAAAUAUAAACUGUGAUAAUCUGAGUUUGUUAAUAUAGUCAAUGAAAACCCUGUCUUUCAAAAGUUAACUUUAAAGUGUAUAAAGAAGAAAAAUUCUCUGCAAUCAGCAUACCAGUCCUGGGACAACAAAGUCCACAGUUGAGCAUGAAUCACGGUGGGGCACAGGUCAGUAGGGGACCCAAAGGAAUUAGGGAGCAACGAGCAAACAAGAUUAUUUUCCCCCUAACCAAGAGGUGGCUAAAGAUUUUGUCAUUUUAUAAGCAGAAUACUGAAAUUAAGGUGAAAAGCACACAGCAUAGACUAAGAUAAAAGUUGAGUCAACUGCAUUUAGUUUAUCUCACAUUAUGGAUUUAAUUCUUACCAACUCCUAAGUUUUUGUGCCCUUUAGAGGAUAUUUAUAAGAAACAACUCUAUAGGCAUAUUAAGGGGACUUGAGUAAGCUGGACUCAGAUGAUUACUGUAAGCAUGAUUCUGAUGUCCAGAAACAUAAGUUCAAUUUAUAUAUAUAAGUAUAUAUAACUGAGAUUUAUAAAUAUAUAUAAAACCAAGUCACUUUGUUGUACAGCAGAAAUUAACCCAAUGAUGUCAAGUCACCUAAAGUUCAAUAAAAUUUAAAAAAGAAAGCAGAGAGAUUAUUGACGUAAAGGUUAGUAGAACUACAGUGAGAUCAUUUGCUUGGCCUGUCAGAGAAUA